GGACACUGGGUCAGUAAUGGUCCCGUGCAAACUGGAUAAAAGGGAAUGCUGUGCCGUCUUCAAGUGCUCACGGCUUGGAGGUUAGUCAGCAACUGUACCCGCAACUGUAGGCGGUAAGAGUCUGUUUUUGCAUUUUUAAAAAUGCGCCACUGGCUAAAAAGCUGGGAAGGUUAAACAGGCUCUGUCAUCCGCAAGUCAGGAAACCUGCCAUUACUGUUGAUACACC
rnacentral:ncRNA from 2 species